rnacentral:rRNA from 1 species
UACGUAGGUGACCAGCGUUGUCCGGAUUUACUGGGCGUAAAGAGCGCGCAGGCGGUCGUUCAAGUCGAGUGUGAAAGCCCCCGGCUCAACUGGGGAGGGUCACUCGAUACUGAUCGACUUGAAGGCAGGAGAGGGAAGCGGAAUUCCCGGUGUAGUGGUGAAAUGCGCAGAUAUCAGGAAGAACACCCGUGGCGAAGGCGGCUCUCUGGGACGGUACUGACGCUGAGACGCGAAAGCGUGGGGAGCGAACAGG